CUCUGAGCCACGCGAGUUUAUUUAAUCCAGCACUUAUUCCCCUGUCAUAUUUUCUCAAGCCAAAGAUGAACCGACAGCACGAGUUCUGUACCUUCUGAUGCAAUCUAUAACUUGCAACAGAAUCAAGACAAGGAUAAAAAAUUGUCAAUCCAUAGUUCAAUUUGGACAAUACUACUGACUCGCAGAGAUACUUACUCGGGGAAAAGUCCAAAAAAUUGUGCAAGAAAGGAUUUUUUUUCAACAGCAAUGAGACAUACUCCCUAAAUCUCAGCUGACAAUCAUAUAUGAUGCCAAGGUUCCUGCAACAAGUAGAAUAUGGGACUUGCUCACCAACCAUAUUUACUUCAACCGUAACAGAAAGCUUUCUGGGGAAGAAAGCCCGAGAAACGAGAGAGGGAUGAAACGAUAGACGAACCUAGUUGUCAUCACAAAAA